rnacentral:misc_RNA from 1 species
UUCAAAGACCGAUGGACAUCAAGAACAGACCACGCAUUCCAAUUCCUGACGAGGAUCCCUACAGUAUUGCGAGCUCCAACGCGAACGGGUCGGGAUCCAGCGGCAGCUCUGGGGGGUACGGGCUUGGUAAUGGACACGUCAAUGGCCAUGGAGUGGUGGCCGCCACUAGAGAAGCAACCAAUGAUGCAGAUGGGUCAAAGGAGAGGCGAGAAACCCCAAUCUACCGCCGAGGGAGAAUGGAUACGGACCUGCUGAUAUUCCCAAGCCUGAUUACGACGAUAUUGAAACAAACGGCCGCGUGCCGGCGCAGUUCCCGCGUGGCAAAUCCGAUAAAGGCAAAGAGAAGAAAUACGAUGACCCCUACUACUGCGGCCUACGCGCACGCGUUCCGAACUUCGUGAAGGCGAACGGGCAAAAAGUUUUGCCGCCGAUGCCCGAGCGCCUCACUCUGAAAGAGGCGCCGGUGCCCAGCAAGCGUUACAGCGUGGCCCACCCGCACCCCGGCCCAUUCCCGCCACACAUGCCAGCGUUUGCCCACGCCCCGAUGCCGCCGGCGGCGUUGUGGCACGCGCGCUCUUACGAGAGCGGAAUCGACGGAGAACACUAUGACCCAUACGCGUUAUACGGCCGCCUGCCCAUGCCUGGACGUGGCUUCCCACCACCACCAGCCCCACACGCACGCCACAUGUUCAUCGGAGAGUGGGAUUAAAGUGCAACACCACAAACACGGCAAUACUACCCGAUAUUAGACUCGAUUUAAGAAUAUUGUCACAUCGAUGUUAGGAAAUAUUAAUGAAACAGUAGCUGUUGUAAAAAAUAUGUAAAUGAU